rnacentral:misc_RNA from 1 species
AGUUCCUGCAAUUGUAACAAACACUUGUUCAAACGCAAUAACCUUAAUCAUGGAAUAUAACCUUAUCACACAGAAAGGACAGAGAGGUCACAUUAGUUGGACACAACCAUUUAUUCACCACCAAGCAAACUCAAAUGAAUUUCAGCCCCACCUACAGCUAAGCUUGCCUGUACCAACAUAGUACUUUUGAUUUAAAUAUUUCGGAAAUAGUCUCACUCAAAAGCAACUACGCAAGUAGUCUUAAAACCUUUCACCAAUCCAUUUUAAUACACAUAUAAACAGAGAUGCAUAACACAUUACCAAGUGAUAUUCACAAAAAUUGGAUAAAAUAUGAUUCAACUUACAUAGCCAUUGAACUGCUGAGC